ACCCAAAACUAGCGAUCCGAACUCCCUUUGCAAAAAACUGGCCCGGCCCGGAAAAACGUUUAAUCCGCCGGCAAACCCUAGCCCGCCGCCCAAAUCAGCCGCGCUUCCUCUUCUUCCCCAACUCUGGCGGCGCUUCCGUCCCCUCCGCUAGCCGAAAUGGUCCAGUCCAACGCUCGCCGGACCCUCUUCCCGCGCGGUAGGGGAAACCAUAGCGGAGGUCAAUCGCGGGGCGGUCGAAGACAAUGAGGCAGGCCGGCGGCGGAGCAUCGGCGCGGCGCCAAGAAAUGGGAGAAGCACCGCAACCUCAGCGCCUUUGCCGAGCGGAAGUACCAGGAGUACCUUCGCAAGGAAGCGGCGUUGGUGGCGGCAUAGGCGACGGGGCUCGUGCCCUUUGGAGGACGCGGCUGCUGGGGCGGCGUCGCACACACAGCCUGCCGGGAGGAGGCCGAGUCCUCCCGUGCCGCCAUGCGCCGCCGCGAGCCGACGCCGGAGCCAGAGGAGGGGAGCGAGGAGGAGGAGUAGGAGGAGGCGCAGCAUCAACUCUUCGGCGUUCACCCGAGUCAUGUCCCUGAGUCCUUGGUAGGACAUCACUGUUUUAGGUUCGGGACAUCAAUUUCCAAGUGAAGCAGCUCAUUGUAAUCAAGCUUCCAUUUCUCAUAGCUUUGCUACAAAGUAAGACUUACAAGAGGUGCACAAUGAGUAUGACUACUUGCUUAACAAAGUGCCCAAAGAUGUGGAAUUUGCCACCCUACCAUAAGUCAAUGAGUUGAAAGAACAAGUGCAUACUUUGGAUAGAAAUGUUACAGUAAUAUCGAACAAUAUAUUAGAGGUAAAGACUAAUACAAACAUUAUCAAGAAGAACCAGGAGACUUCAAUGGUUGCUAAAGGAAUAUGGCUCCAAGUUGCUCUUGUGGUGCUCCUUAUUGCUGUGAAAUUUCCUUUGUUCCGUUAACACUUAUUUUGAAACGUUAACACUUCAGUUAGUACAUUUCAGCCCCAUUUUAACUGCUGUGAAAUGUCAAGAAAUAAUGUCAAUAACAAACUUUUUUGCAUUCCAGAACGCAUUCUGGAUGAGAGAAUUCAAGGUGUCUAUGCUGAACUUCCUCGUCCGGCACAAGAAAAAUUGGGUGGCUCAUGGUUCAUUCAGCUUCAAACUUCUUUGAAUCUAGUCUGAUUUGGUAGUCAAUGCACUUGUUAACAGGUCUAUGUAAUCAGGAUGGAUGGAAUAGGAAAUUAGGGGUUCUCAUGUGGCUUCCAGCAUGGCUACCUCCUUACUGAACAAUUCAUAAUAGAGACCACAUGCAGCUUCCACCUGUAUAUGACAGUAUUGUAAGUAGACGUCGCCUGAUGGAGCUCGUCGACGGAGGAGACCAGUGGAAGGAGACAAGAGAGCAAUCUUCCAUGUUGUAUAUAUUUCAAUGAAAUGAAUAUGUAUGUGGAUGGAAUUGAAAUGUUGUAGUAAUACGUGGAAAUAAAAUGAAGCUCGCAUCUUCA